rnacentral:rRNA from 1 species
CANNUGUAAUGGAGCAGUCUGACCGCCAGUACCGUGCAGGAUGACGGCCCUAUGGGUUGUAAACUGCUUUUAUAUGGGGAUAAAGUGGGGAACGUGUUCCCUUUUGCAGGUACCAUAUGAAUAAGGACCGGCUAAUUCCGUGCCAGCAGCCGCGGUAAUACAAACCA